UACCGUACUAAGCGCGAAUGUGUACGCGCGCGCGCGGUUAAUGCUGCUUCCUUCCUCUCUUUCUGUCCCUUUCUUUCUCCGUAUCUCUCUCACUAUUUCUCUCACAUACACACAAACUCAUUUUAAUGUGUUUAUCUAAUGUUAGCCGUUCAUUUCAAAACCCUACCUCUGAACCAUUAUUUCCUAUUGUAAAGAGUGAUGGGGGAGAAGAUAUUUUGUGUGGGAGGACAGCAGGCUUUUCUGUGAAAUCCUCUUUUAAAAGAGAUGAGAAAGAAAAGAUGGCAUGAGAAAAUGUGAAACUAGAGGAAGAAAAAACAUUUUUUACAAACAUGUCGCUGUUGAAGAGAGAGCGCUUUAGUUUCGCUGGACAGAGAGACGGUCAAGCUGAGGGAGGGAGGAUGUUUGGCCUUUCACCAGGACCUGGCUGGCAGUGACGACUGACCCCAGGCCCAGAGUGAUGCAUCCUGCAAUUUGGACACUCCAAUAGGUUAUGUGACGUGUGAAUUUCUCUCCGCUCCAUCACUCACAUAAAUCCUGUCCAGUAGGCCAUAUGACCCACCAGGAUCUUACCAUGGAAAAGCCUUUUUCAAAUCAGCAGAUGACUAAGAUAUUAGCCCUUAAAAACAAUAAUAUGUAUGUGUAUGUGUUACAUUGAAGCACAAAUAUAGCAACAAAAUCUCCCAAUUUUACCAAUUUGACUUCAGGUUCUGCCGUUUAUCCACGUUUAUCCAAACGUCAAAUUUCGAAGUGUUUUUAAGUUACGGUUUGGGAUAGGGUUAAAACAUUAAAGAGCCUGGCUCUGCCACGGCAUAUAGUCAUGGCUAUAUUAACAACAUUACUUCUGUCAUAAACAUUAAAAUGAUCCAAACCACAA
rnacentral:lncRNA from 1 species